CAAGUCGAGCGCACCUUCGGAUGAGCGGCGGACGGGUUAGUACGCGUGGGAACAUACCCUGUUCUACGGAAUAGCCUCGCGAAACUGAGAGUAAUACCGUAUAAGCCCUUCGGGGGAAAGAUUUAUCGGGAAAGGAUUGGCCCGCGUUAGAUUAGAUAGUUGGUGGGGUAAUGGCCUACCAAGUCUACGAUCUAUAGCUGGUUUUAGAGGAUGAUCAGCAACACUGGGACUGAGACACGGCCCAGACUCCUACGGGAGGCAGCAGUGGGGAAUCUUAGACAAUGGGCGCAAGCCUGAUCUAGCCAUGCCGCGUGUGUGAUGAAGGUCUUAGGAUCGUAAAGCACUUUCGCCAGGGAUGAUAAUGACAGUACCUGGUAAAGAAACCCCGAUGAUC
rnacentral:rRNA from 1 species